rnacentral:rRNA from 1 species
UACAGAGGGCUCGAGCGUUGUUCGGAUUCAUUGGGCGUAAAGGGUGCGUAGGCGGCGAGGUAAGUCGGAUGUGAAAUCCCGGGGCUCAACCCCGGAACUGCAUUCGAUACUGCCUUGCUCGAGUACUGGAGAGGAGACUGGAAUUUACGGUGUAGCAGUGAAAUGCGUAGAUAUCGUAAGGAAGACCAGUGGCGAAGGCGAGUCUCUGGACAGUUACUGACGCUGAGGCACGAAGGCCAGGGGAGCAAACGGG